GGAGCAAGGCCAAAUAGGGGUUCACAUGGUACGGCCCGUACUGAACCCGGGUAGGCUGCUUGAGCCAGUGAGCGAUUGCUGGCCUAGAUGAAUGACUGUUCAACGACAGAACCCGGCUUAUCGGUCAGCUUCAACU
rnacentral:RNase_P_RNA from 1 species